rnacentral:rRNA from 1 species
GACGAACGCUGGCGGCGUGCCUAAUACAUGCAAGUUGAGCGCUGAAGGUUGGUACUUGUACCAACUGGAUGAGCAGCGAACGGGUGAGUAACGCGUGGGGAAUCUGCCUUUGAGCGGGGGACAACAUUUGGAAACGAAUGCUAAUACCGCAUAAAAACUUUAAACACAAGUUUUAAGUUUGAAAGAUGCAAUUGCAUCACUCAAAGAUGAUCCCGCGUUGUAUUAGCUAGUUGGUGAGGUAAAGGCUCACCAAGGCGAUGAUACAUAGCCGACCUGAGAGGGUGAUCGGCCACAUUGGGACUGAGACACGGCCCAAACUCCUACGGGAGGCAGCAGUAGGGAAUCUUCGGCAAUGGACGAAAGUCUGACCGAGCAACGCCGCGUGAGUGAAGAAGGUUUUCGGAUCGUAAAACUCUGUCGGUAGAGAAGAACGUUGGUGAGAGUGGAAAGCUCAUCAAGUGACGGUAACUACCCAGAAAGGGACGGCUAACUACGU